ensembl:lncRNA
CCAGAGAAAACUGACUUUGCCUACUCCUCUGUUAUCUCUGACUGUCAUUUCCUUUUCAAUGUUCUCAUCCAUCUUCAGUUCUGGGGCCUUCCCGUGCCUUUCGACGGUUCUGAGCCCUGGGGACAGCAAGGAAAGCCUUCUCUGAUCUCCCAAUCUGAUUUCAGAAGGUGCAGAAUGAUGGAAUAAUCCGACUGGGUCAGCUUUGCCAAGGUUUGUUUCUCAUCUUUCACUCAGGUACAAGAAACAGCUUACGUUCCUCUUCUGAAUUCUGGGUGAAGCUGGUGGGCAUGGGACAGCUGUGCCCUCUAGACUGGCCCAGGCGGAAAUUUCUCUUCAGGUUUUUACAAGG